UUUCCGUAGGUGAACCUGCGGAAGGAUCAUUAAAGAAUUUGCCCCGUCCUCUCGAGGAUGGGUCCUCUUCUAAACCGUGUAUACAUACCUUUGUUGCUUUGGCGGGCCGCCGUCUCGGCGUUGGCUUCGGCUGACUGUGCCCGCCAGAGAACCCCAACUCUUCUGUUUAGUAUUGUCUGAGUACUAUAUAAUAGUUAAAACUUACAACAACGGAUCUCUUGGUUCUG
rnacentral:misc_RNA from 1 species